rnacentral:rRNA from 1 species
AGAGUUUGAUCCUGGCUCAGGACGAACGCUGGCGGCGUGCCUAAUACAUGCAAGUCGAGCGAGCUUGCCUAGAUGAAUUUGGUGCUUGCACCAAAUGAAACUAGAUACAAGCGAGCGGCGGACGGGUGAGUAACACGUGGGUAACCUGCCCAAGAGACUGGGAUAACACCUGGAAACAGAUGCUAAUACCGGAUAACAACACUAGACGCAUGUCUAGAGUUUAAAAGAUGGUUCUGCUAUCACUCUUGGAUGGACCUGCGGUGCAUUAGCUAGUUGGUAAGGUAACGGCUUACCAAGGCAAUGAUGCAUAGCCGAGUUGAGAGACUGAUCGGCCACAUUGGGACUGAGACACGGCCCAAACUCCUACGGGAGGCAGCAGUAGGGAAUCUUCCACAAUGGACGCAAGUCUGAUGGAGCAACGCCGCGUGAGUGAAGAAGGGUUUCGGCUCGUAAAGCUCUGUUGGUAGUGAAGAAAGAUAGAGGUAGUAACUGGCCUUUAUUUGACGGUAAUUACUUAGAAAGUCACGGCUAACUACGUGCCAGCAGCCGCGGUAAUACGUAGGUGGCAAGCGUUGUCCGGAUUUAUUGGGCGUAAAGCGAGUGCAGGCGGUUCAAUAAGUCUGAUGUGAAAGCCUUCGGCUCAACCGGAGAAUUGCAUCAGAAACUGUUGAACUUGAGUGCAGAAGAGGAGAGUGGAACUCCAUGUGUAGCGGUGGAAUGCGUAGAUAUAUGGAAGAACACCAGUGGCGAAGGCGGCUCUCUGGUCUGCAACUGACGCUGAGGCUCGAAAGCAUGGGUAGCGAACAGGAUUAGAUACCCUGGUAGUCCAUGCCGUAAACGAUGAGUGCUAAGUGUUGGGAGGUUUCCGCCUCUCAGUGCUGCAGCUAACGCAUUAAGCACUCCGCCUGGGGAGUACGACCGCAAGGUUGAAACUCAAAGGAAUUGACGGGGGCCCGCACAAGCGGUGGAGCAUGUGGUUUAAUUCGAAGCAACGCGAAGAACCUUACCAGGUCUUGACAUCCAGUGCAAACCUAAGAGAUUAGGAGUUCCCUUCGGGGACGCUGAGACAGGUGGUGCAUGGCUGUCGUCAGCUCGUGUCGUGAGAUGUUGGGUUAAGUCCCGCAACGAGCGCAA